AGAGUUUGAUCAUGGCUCAGAACGAACGCUGCGGCAUGCCUAACACAUGCAAGUCGAACGGGAUCCAGGCUUCGGCCUGGUGAGAGUGGCGGACGGGUGAGUAACGCGUGGGAACCUGCCCAAUGGUCUGGGAUAACCGCGGGAAACUGCGGCUAAUACCGGAUAAGCCCCCCUCGGUUAAACGGGGAGGGGAAAGAUUUAUCGCCGAUGGAGGGGCCCGCGUCAGAUUAGGUAGUUGGUGGGGUAAUGGCCUACCAAGCCUACGAUCUGUAGCUGGUCUGAGAGGAUGAUCAGCCACACUGGGACUGAGAUACGGCCCAGACUCCUACGGGAGGCAGCAGUGGGGAAUAUUGGACAAUGGGGGCAACCCUGAUCCAGCAAUGCCGCGUGAGUGAUGAAGGCCUUAGGGUUGUAAAGCUCUUUUGGCGGGGACGAUGAUGACGGUACCCGCAGAAUAAGCCCCGGCUAACUUCGUGCCAGCAGCCGCGGUAAUACGAAGGGGGCGAGCGUUGUUCGGAAUUACUGGGCGUAAAGGGCGCGUAGGCGGCCGAUCAAGUCAGAUGUGAAAGUCCUGGGCUUAACCUGGGGACUGCAUUUGAUACUGAUUGGCUUGAAUGCAGGAGAGGAUAGCGGAAUUCCCAGUGUAGAGGUGAAAUUCGUAGAUAUUGGGAAGAACACCGGUGGCGAAGGCGGCUAUCUGGACUGUGAUUGACGCUGAGGCGCGAAAGCGUGGGGAGCAAACAGGAUUAGAUACCCUAGUAGUCC
rnacentral:rRNA from 1 species